rnacentral:rRNA from 1 species
GCCCUACGGGACGCAGCAGUAGGGAAUUUUCGUCAAUGGGCGCAAGCCUGAACGAGCAAUGCCGCGUGAACGAGGAAGGUCUUCGGAUCGUAAAGUUCUGUUGAAGGGGAAAAAGAGCGGAGAGAGGAAAUGGUCUCCGAUUCAUAUUACCCUUCGAGGAAGUCACGGCUAACUACGUGCCAGCAGCCGCGGUAAUACGUAGGUGGCGAGCGUUAUCCGGAAUUACUGGGUGUAAAGGGUGAGUAGGCGGCUGGGCAAGUCAUAUGUGAAAUACCGGGGCUCAACUU